rnacentral:rRNA from 1 species
UACGUAGGGUGCGAGCGUUAAUCGGAAUUACUGGGCGUAAAGUGUGCGCAGGCGGCGUUGCAAGUCGAGUGUGAAAGCCCCGGGCUUAACUUGGGAAUUGCGCUCGAAACUACGAUGCUGGAGUGUGGCAGAGGAAGGUGGAAUUCCACGUGUAGCGGUGAAAUGCGUAGAGAUGUGGAGGAACACCGGAAUGGCGAAGCAGCCUUCUGGGGCCA